rnacentral:rRNA from 1 species
CCCUGGCAGUCAGAGGCGAUGAAGGACGUGCUAAUCUGCGAUAAGCGUCGGUAAGGUGAUAUGAACCGUUAUAACCGGCGAUUUCCGAAUGGGGAAACCCAGUGUGAUUCGUCACACUAUCAUUAACUGAAUCCAUAGGUUAAUGAGGCGAACCGGGGGAACUGAAACAUCUAAGUACCCCGAGGAAAAGAAAUCAACCGAGAUUCCCCCAGUAGCGGCGAGCGAACGGGGAGCAGCCCAGAGCCUGAAUCAGUGUGUGUGUUA